ACUUCCUGUCAAUAUAAAAACAGAUGUGUUGCUCUGAGUUCAAUAAACUCCUUGUGGGGGAAAACAAAUAUUAGAAUCUUUUAUAUUGUUCUAUCAGUUGCACUGUGUUUUGUAUUGUUUUUUUUUUUUUCCUCCCACCAGGUAGACCUUAAUUUUAACAACUCUCAGCAACCACUCAAUGGUGUUAAAUCACUAGUUCAUCCUAUUCACACACACGCUUAAUCAAGUCAAAAGGUGAGAAUCAUUGGUGCUGCAAAAUAAAAUACAUCACUCAAUUGUCUCUACCAUCUGCACCAUAAACCACUCAUCGGUUUAUUGCAGAAUACAAUCCUGAGGUCAUUUACUAGAUUACUGCAAUCAAUGUCAUUCAGAGCAUGUUAUGAAUCCCUUCAAUGUGUUUAUUUUUUUCUUAAUUGCAUACUGCAGGAAUUGUGACCUUACCCAGCAGGCCACGUUCAGAAGAUAUCCCAUCAGUUCUAUGCUACUGCUUGACCACAACCAUUAGCUGUAUAAUCAUGGACAAGCAGACUACAAGCAACAUCCAGGUACAAUCAAUCCUUGUUGCUUUACCAGAGUCAUCAGAACACUAAGUAGCCCUUUUUGCCUCAUGUUGAAGAUACAAGCUGCAGAGUAGAAGCGUUUCAGAAAAAAUGUUAUCUUUUUCAAAUAUGACUGUAGAUGGAAAAUUACUACACAGGUGUUUGACUUUGCAAACUAGGAUUUAUUUCACUUCUGUAGAAAUUGUUUGCACUAUAUAUUUCACUAAUGCAAAAUUAAAAUGUGAUACAGAGCCCACAGACUGCUUUGCAAUAUUGUUAACCUAAGCUGUCAUUAUGCCAAAUUACUAAAAAAAAAAAAAAAGGAAGUUUAAAUAGUCAAUUCUGCUCCACCUGACUAAUCAUAGUUAUUUAUGUAAUGCUGAGCUAAAAAUCUCAGAAUGCAUCUAAAAAGAGAUUGAAGACCAUGUUAAAAAAUGAGGUAAUUACAUGGAAUCUUACAGCUGCUCUACCUAAUAUCAAAUAUAUUCCAGUUCCUGAAUAUUGGAAGUUAUUUGAUGCAAUAUUAUAUUGUAUGUAAAUAAAACUAAUUGUCAUGAUGGUUUACUGAAGCAUGCUUGACAAGUAGCAUUCAAUUUUCCUAGCUAGUCAAUGGUUAUCUUUUUCCAAUAUCUUCAUAGCCUGUAAAUUUGAGUUUCAUACUUUCUCUAACAAUAUUUUCACACAGUAAGAGCAUUUCUUGUUUAUGACAUUUUCAGAUCAUACAAAGUAGAUUUUACACAAAAACUCUUGUGUCAGAUACUGGUAUCUUCUAUUCCAGAGCUGACGAUAGUUCUUAUAGACACAAACUAGCUUUAAAGAUACACAAUAAAAUGCUACUACAGACAUGCUCAAAGUAUUAACUUCUUGUUUUCUGAAUGCAUUUAAACCUUUUGCAGCUCUGCCUAAAUUAGCGUAGAAAUUACCGUACCAUUAUGACUUCACAUACAAAGGAACCCCCAAAGUCCUCUAUAAGUUAGAGCAACAGACCUUGCAAGGUGCUUGGAUUGCGGUGACCAGAAAAUUGUUCUCACCUCCAUGUCAUUACGCUCACAGUGAAGCAGCCCCCGAGCAUGUUUGUGUUCGGGAUCUAAUAUAUUGCCUUUCAAUCAGAGCUGAGAGCCACUGAACACAUAGACAGAACAUGACGAGCAGGUCAGGAAAGCAAUAAAGAUUUUACAGAGCUGUCCAAGGUGCUAAAUUUACUCAAUAAUGGGUUUGGCACCAUAGUGUUAACCUCUCAUUUACUACCAGUUUGAGGGACUAAAUUGAAGUAGCUGACUUCAUUUACCUUGAAAUGUAUAUUUUAUGACAUUAUGUAAGUAGAUUGAAAGGGCACUGCAGUUUUAACAAUUUAAAGGCUAGAGCAUGUUUAAGAUGAAGCUUGAAUAUUUAUUGUAUAUUGCACUUAAACUAUAUAGUAUAUUAAAAUGCAUUGAUUAAAUUUGUAAAAGGUAUUAUAAAAAAGGACAGCUAAUAUAAAAGAUCUAUGUCUUUUAAAAUCCAAUUGAUACUGUAUGUUACCACUGCAAUGGUGAUAAACAGAUAGGUGGACAGAGAAGCAGACAGACAUCAAAAAGUAAGUGAAACUCACAUCCUA